rnacentral:lncRNA from 1 species
CAACACCCAUUCAACCAAAAAAGAAAAAAGAAAAGAAAAAGAAACCAAAACCACAUGAAAAAUGAAUGUUUUCAACAACCACUAGUAGUGUAGUACAACAAACACAUGAAAACAGAGGGACAAACAUAACCAUUACAGUAUAAAAGAAACAGUUUUGAACUGACCAGAAAGAUCUCAGUCAAGUGAAAAUAAAGCUUUCUAGUGAAAACCAGCAGCUGCUAUCUUUUGCAAAAAAGAAAAACUCCAAGAAAAUGCCUAAGGAGAAGAAGAAGAAGAAAGAUCCAGUGAGUUUUCCAAUUAAGUCACUGUCCUCUUUGUUUUUGUCUCUGUUCUUCACUUGUCUUAUAUAUAGUUCUGUUUUUGUCAGGGAAACGAAGAAAGUGAAAAGAUAGGAGUAUUAGGAAAAAGAUGGAAAGAAGUGCUGAAUUGGAUAAUUAAAUUAAUACCCACUCUCGUGAAACACGCGCUUUAACCACGCUCUAUUGGAUGUUGUGGGACCCAAGGUUAGUGAAUGAUACCUCUCAAAGUUACCGAACAACAACCCAGUAUAAUUUCACUUGUGGAUCUGGGAAAAGUAGUGUGUACGCAGACCUUACCCCUACCUUGGAGUAGAAAGGCUGUUUCCGAUAAACCCUCGGCUCCAUCCCUCCAAGAACUUUCCACCUUAUUCUUGGGAUGACUCGAACUCACAAUCUCUUAGUUGAAAGCGGAGAUACUUGACACUAUAGCAACCACUGCCAAACAAAGCACUGAAUUGGAUGGCUUUCACUUGUUUUCUAGUCCAAUGAUAGUGACUACUCUACUUCAAUCUGUUUUCCAUUUUUGUUCUGUCUAAUUUUUUAUAUUUUUUGGGCUUGUAAGUUAGUCUAAAAUGAAAGUCAAUGAGGAAAAAUUACUGCUUCUUUUCUUCCUUCUUCAUAUUUGGUGGUUUUACAUAUGAAUAAUAUUAGAGUAAAUAUUGGUGAAUUGUUUUUCG